UUUCAUUUGUCCCUCCUCCGAGUGGUUCUGAAUGGGUUUUGGUUCCAGUGUGUGCCUUCAGAACGGCCUGCCCCCGGUGCCACCGCUCAGGGCGGCCUCGGCGUGUGCACAUUCACAUAGCCAAGGGUAUGAUCAGACGCAUUAGGAGAGCCUGUUUGGUUUCUGGGGGUGACAUUGCACAGCGUGCCAGCUACAGGAGGAGCAGCAGGCCUGGCUCCUGCCCAGGAGGCACCUGGCCUAGAUCUCAGCGUCACUGCGGAGUUAACCAAGGGAAGCGGCACCAGCAUCACACCCUGUUCCAGCCAACAGUCUCCAGCGUCCCUGACAGAUGUCGGGAAGUUCUUUUCCCCGUAAGAUCCCGGAGAAUGUCCUGAGGCUGCCGUGUGGAAGCUCUGGGGCCUUUCUCGUCUCCCACUGCCAGCUUAAUGAGCUGUGCUGGUAGCAACAGAUGGCGCCCCGCAGGGUCUCACUUGGAUAGCUUGGAAAGUUCCUGGACACCAGUUGGACUUGCCGCGAAAACCAUUAAUCUGGCCUUUCAGAGAAAAUCUUCAGAAGAAUGUAUUUGCAAGGUGAAUUAUGAGGAUUUAGGAUUUGCCCUCAAAUUUCUCUUUCAGGCUGCUCUUCAAAUAAAUAUUUCCCCAUCCAAAAGAGACCACAGUUAUUUUAGAUGUUUGUCUCUUAACAUCUGAAUGCACUGCUUUUUCUUAGCUUUACAAGAACCUGUCCUCACAAUAAUCCACUCUACAGCUGAAAAGUCUUCUUACUCCUGCAAAUCUGAACCCAGUAAUGACUAACAUUGCACCCAAUAAGAAGUGAGGAUAAUUUCAGAACACUUGGCUUUGCUUUAAAGGGCAAGAUUUUGGAAGCAGGUUCACAGGACUCCAUCCAGAUCUGUCUUCCUGGCACACAGCUCAGGGGACCAUGCCCAAGCUCCAGGUGACAGCAGAGGGCAGGAGAGGGGACGCUUGCUUCCCACAUGUCUGGCCCUAGGGUAGGGAGCUCGUUAGGACUCCAGGUGCCAGAAUCCCACAGCACAGUGGCCUCUGGAUGCCCCUUCGUGUCCUGGAAAGGAGAGGCGGCUCCUCUCCAACUCAGGGUGGGGCUGGGAGAGGUCUUGACAGCAGGCAGGCCUUGGAGGCCACCGCAGCUCCCCAAAUGUCCCUGUGCCUCUGCACUCGCUGGGCCUGCUAGCUGUUCUGGGUCUCAAGGGUAUAUAUACAAUUCUGAACAUGUAACUAAGAACAUGUAACUCCACUAGGCUCAUAUCUCACCCUACACCAGCGUUCAUGAUGUGGGAUUUCUGAGCUGACUGCACGUGAGACCCGGCCAGGUCUUGACUCACUGCCUGAAUUUUCCACGUCUUUCUGGAGAUAAAGCCUUUCUCUGGCUUGGUGAAUGCUGUCUGAUUCUUCAUCUUUUUCCAUUUGGCAUUUUGCUUUGAAACUCAGAGUGUUGUAAAAGUAGUUGUAAUCUCAGGUCUGACAUGGAAGAAGUUUUGAUGACUUACUGCCAACUUUGUAUCACCCCCAAAAUGCUUUAGAGAAAUAUCUCUCUACAGAGGAAAGCAAGGAACUGUGACUUUAACUAGUGAAUUGGAUCAACGUGUCCAGCUAAUUCAGGUACCAAAUCCUAUUUUUCUGUAACAGCAGAAAACUGUCACGACUGCCACUGAGCUCAACUUUUCCUGAACAGACUCAGCUAAAAUCCUUGCCAUGUCUCAGUUCUCAUUUCACUAUGCUAAUUAGGGAGCCCAGAGGGUGAGUCUACACAUGUAAAAUGGAUGGAUCUUAACACAUCGAUGCUUUGUUUUUAGCCAGAUUGCUGCACAACUGAUUCCACUUCUGCAGCAACUGCCAUCCAUCACCAGGACUGCUCUGCCUGGGGACAGCCAGGCCACAGCCCUGCUGACGUCUGCAUGGGUCUUGGACGUGGUCUAGGGCCAGAACGCAGUGAUGAAGCUGGUGGUUUGUAGAGGCUUUUACUACAAGUAACAUCCCUCAUUUGAUGAAAUAGAUAUCUUUCUGCCAACUUGGCUCUGUCACUGAAACCUGGUGUUUUUGUCUGGUAAUUCUUCAAAUUUGAUGUUUUAAAGAAUGUUAAGUGAAUUAAUUCCUCCUUUUUGUCAGUGCUAUAAGUUCCAUACAGAGUUUGCUCAGUCUGAAGUACAUCUGUAUUAAUUAGACAAACUAAAGCAUUGGGUGGAUCUAAACGGUUCCUUUUAAUGAUUUUUCUCCACGAUGACAAGGCACACUAUACAAACAACCACCUGAUUUUAGCAAGAGGGCUAAAAAUUAUAUUGCAUAAAUGGAGUUGCAUUAUUUAAACUUAAAUUCAGGCCAGGUGCGGUGGCUCACGCCUGUAAUCCUAGCACUUUGGGAGGCAGAGGCAGGCGGAUCCUUGAGAUCAGAAGUUCGAGACCAGCCUGGACAACAUGGUGAAACCCUGUCUCUACUAAAAAUACAAAAAUUACCCGGAAAUCGCUUGAACCGGGGAGGCGGAGGUUGCAGUGAGCUGAGAUCGUGCCACUGCACUCCAGCCUGGGCAACAGAGCGAGACUCUGUCUCAACAGAAACAAACAAACAAAAACAACAACAACAAAAAACAAAAAAACCCUGAAAUUCAAACUUUUGCCAUUAAAAACAUCCUCAAUUCGAUAAAUUACAACUUGUAUUUUGAAAUAUUGGUGGAAUGACCUUACCUGCUCUAUUUCAACCUUAAACAGCUGAAUUAAAAGCCUAAUUCCUACCAAAAGUCUUUAAAAUGAGAAAUUAACUGUGAUGAUACUUUCCCCUGAUUAAAUAAGAAGCAAGAGCUGGGGCUUUGCCUGAGAGGACAUCAUUUCAGAAGUCAAUUUGGUUUUGACUUCGUUAAAGCAAUAAAAUGUGGGUGGUUAAUCUGAGUGAAAGCUGCCAUGUUCUAAAAAUGCGUGAAGACUUAACUGGAUGGGUGGUUGCACCGCAGAAGCUAUUUAGGAUUGGAAAGUAGCUGUGAUUUGGAUUUUAAUGAAUUGCACACUGUUGACGAAUUCUUCAGCAGUUAGCCUGGAUCCUUUCCACUCAACUUAGACCUUUCUGCCUAGUUACUCCAACUUAAACCUCAGUUCCUGGAGGAAUCAAGUUUGUCUUAUAGCUGUUGUCUUUGAUGGAGAUGAGCCCGAGAGACAUUAAAGUUUCAGUGAAUUUUAUCCCCUUUCUGGAUACUAUUAAAUCACUCCUGCCCCAGGCAGAAGACUGGUCUUUACUCUAAGGCAGCUAAAGAGUGACUAUUUUUCCAAAUUGCACAAAAGGGAGAAUUUAUCAAGCACCUUUUCUCUCAGAGAGGACAAACCCAGAACAGGAAAACUUUAUUACUUUCUCUCUUGGCUAUAAAUUAUGCUAUUCAGAUGUAUUUGAAAGCUUCUCUUUAUGCUCUUGCUUGAGCCAUAAAACUUGAUACCUGGGGCCAAAUGCCUUUAUCCCCAAGAAGGGUGAAGAAGAUGAAAAGGCAGCAGCUCUAGGCGGAAGCCACACAAAUGACUGGGCAGAAAAUGCGGGCGGUGGAGAAAGUUACAUUGCACGAUUCAUGCCUCUUUGACCUUAUAUUCUACUCUGAAAUUAAUGUUACUGUUUGCAUAGGAUCACUGGCCUUUCGAAACCUGAAUUAGCCAUUCAGAAAACACUAGGUUUAACCAAUACCAUCAAUUUGAUUGUUGUUGUUAUACUUAUUUAUUUUUGAGGCGGGGUCUUGCUCUGUUGCCCAGGCUGAAGUGCAGUGGUGCCAUCUUGGCUUACUGCAACCUCCACCUCCCGGGUUCAAGCGAUUCUCCUGCCUCAGCCUCCCGAGUAGCUGGGAUUACAGGAUUAUACCUGUUUAAUUUUUGUAUUUUUAGUAGAGACAGGAUUUCACCACGCUGGCCAGGCUGGUCUUGGACUCCUGACCUCAAGUGAUCCGCCGGCCUCAGCCUCUCAAAGUGCUGGGAUUACAGGCGUGAGCCACCGUGCUCGGCCUGUUGUUGUUAUUUUUAAUACCGGGAUUUUAGAUCUGAUGAAUUUCAAUAAGCCAGCCACUCACCUGGAGAGGGUUCGCUGGGGUCCACUUUCUCUGCUUUCCUUACAGUCAUGGUACUUUUAUGUUUCUGCUUGACUGAUGUUUGGUCAAUUGCUGGAAGUUUGGAGUCACACUUAAAUGCAGAUAUCUUGAUAGAUGACCUUGGUUCAGUUAGAGCAUCCUCCUCACUAGAACUCUACCAAAAAUGAAAUACGUCUGAGUCUCAGUGGCCAAGUAGGUCAACUUUGUUAGGCAGAGAAAACAGAAAUGAGGCAAAUGCAGUGACCCUCUCCAGCAAUAAUCCUAGAGUCUUCUGCCAGGUCAACACGCCCGUUCACCAGAGAGAUUCAGAUGGACUGGGCAGAGCAACUUAGAAAUAAUGGCAGAGUUAGUGAGUCUGUUUUGUAGAACAUUAUGAAAGAAUGCAUUUUUCUGUGAGUGUGUUUUGUAGAACGUUAUGAAAAGAAUGCAUUUCUGACCCUUAAGUAAUUUGAUGACAGAUAAAUAGCGCAUGUGCUUUUAAACUUCUUAUUGUUUGUUAUUUGAACUACUUUGGAGAUAGGCUAGAAGAAAAAAUGUUCCUUAUGUUAAUCAUACAUUUGACAAUGAAAAGGAAAUGUAGAUAGUGUGACGGAGGCAGAUUAAAUCAGACCUCAGUUUCAAUACUCUGCGUUACUGGGUGCAACACGAGACAGACUAAUCUUUUAAAAAGUCCCCUCCUUGUCACUCUUCUAUAAAGAAGUCAGUAUAAAUCUAUGCAUGGACAAAUCAUGAUUCCUGCUGUGUCAGAAUAUCUCAACACAGCCAUGCCGACGCAAUAAAAAUUAUCCAGGCAUGGAACAGCUUUAUACUUGGCCACACUUACACCCACCAAAGAAAGGAUGAAAACAAUAUAAAUAUCAGAAACCUGGUCUUAAAGGUGAUUUAAGUACAGCCUGAUGGCUUUAGGUCCUGGUGUUGGUAUGACUUGCUAGGCUAUCCAUUCUGCAACAAAUAAAUCACUAGGUUCCCCCUUCCCCGACCCUGGGGGGUCGUUGCGGUGGGGGUGGAGGGGGGCACUAAGCUCUCUCCUCCAUUGCACAUUAGUCCAGUGUUGGAAAGUCCUGUGAAAAUGUGGUCUUUUGCAGGCAUAGAAUGCUAAAUUAACAUCCCUGGUACCUCCCCAACUGUUGCAAUUUGUAUUGAUCUUGCUCACCGUUCUCCCUGUCAGUUGUGGCAUUUUCAUUUCACAGGCUCCUGACUCAGGAAAAUACUCUGAGUAGCUUUGAAUUAUUGGGUGUGAUGUAAGACAAACUAAAUUCUAAAAAAGUCCUCUACUUGUCAGUCUUCUGUAAAGAAGUCUACAUAAAUCUACAGGUGGACACAUCAUUAUGCUCCAAGAUGAUGAAUCAUAUUUUAAAUUUAGAGUUUGGAUACAGCCUUCAAACAAAUAAUUCUUGUUUCUCCGCACAAUUUCAGAAAACAGACCACCCUCAGAUAAAAGAACCAGAAAAGCACAAGACACAACAAACUGACUGUUCUCCCCUUUCCUUUUCGAUUUUGCUAUUUAAUUGAAAUCCUUGCAAAUAACUCUGAAAUGUCAAAGAUGAAACAUUAGGUCAUUUCUUUUUUCUUUUUUUCUUUUUUUUGAGACAAAGUUUCACUCUUAUUGCCCAGGCUGGAGUGAAAUGGUGCCACCUUGGCUCACUGCAACCUCCGCCUCUCGGGUUCAAGCAAUUCUCCUGCCUCAGCCUCCUGAGUAGCUGGGAUUACAGGCACCCACCAUCAUACCCGGCUAAUUUUUGUAUUUUUAGUAGAGACGGGGUUUCGUUAUGUUGGCCAGGCUGGUCUCGAACUCCUGACCUUAGGUGAUCAACCCAUCUCAGCCUCCCAAAGUUCUGGGAUUAUAGGCGUGAGCCACUGUGCCUGGCUAAAACAUUAGGUCAUUUCUGAACAUGAGAUAGGUUCUCUAUUCUCAGAAAAGAAAAUGCGGGCACAUUUUAAGUAUGACACCUAAGAAUGUCAUUGUAAUUGGGUCCUGGAAGUCACAGUCCUGGAACUGGGUCCCAAGAAGAGCAUCAAUGAAUAAGGGACAGAAUUUCUUCCAUAAACUGCCCAACAAAAUCAGCUCACUGCAGUGGGUUAAGUCAACUCCCACAGGGCCCUGCAAGUGAGCCCUUUAUUUCCAGCCAGCAGAAAGGCAGGAAAAAUGCUCCAGGCGAGGAUGACCAACACCUGUGUCAGCAGCAGUAGCAGCAGCAGCAGCAGCAGGUGUCCGCUCAGCUCAUCUUCGCGGAUCCAUUUCCAUUACCCCCAGCCAGGGCCGGAAUUCUUGGCUUGCCCCAGGCUGUGGUGAAUAGGGAGGAGACCUUUAUUGGUUGAGCUGUUAAGCCACGUUUAUCCUUCCUCCACCCAUUCAUUAAACCUCAAGCCUUUAGUGCACUGAAGAGGUGAAAGCUUGGCCAAUUAAAUCAUCCUGUUACCUACGGGAUUGUGAGCCUACAUUGUGAAUACAUCCUUCUCUGGUUCAAUCAACCUUAUUUCUAGGUAGUAAUCAUUAAGAGUCUAGAAAUUGCAGCUAGAAGUUGGUGUUUUAUCAGUUGUAAACCGAAGGUACAAUGGCAAGAAGUGUAAUACUUACAAAUGUGUUAAUGGACUUUUUUCCUGCUUGCCUCAUUGAGAAAUCUUAAAUAAAUCACGUCCACCUUUUGGUCUUUAUUCUGUCUUCUUACGUUCUCAGCCAUUCCCAUCUAUCCUCUUUCUUUCUUUUUUCUGGAGACAGAGUCUUGCUCUGUCACCCAGGCUGGAGUGCAAUAGCGCGAUCUCGGUUCACUGCAACCUCGACCUCCC
rnacentral:lncRNA from 10 species